AUGCAUUAUUUCAUCCAUAGCCGAAACAUCAAAAGAAAAAGUAAGAAAAGAAGAAAGCUACGUUCGGCCAUUUUGUCCUUUGAUUUAGAUCAAGAAACCAAGAAAUCGGAUUUAGAUCGGGGGAAAUCGAAAGUAGUUUAGUAGCCGAUCUAUUAGUCGACGACAUCCGAGAUUUUGGUGAUCGCUACGUGUUUGGGGAUCGUCAGCUAAGUUCGUCACACUAUCGAUAAUUUCUUUUGGUAUUUUGCUAAAUCGUUCUCAAAUAUAUGACAUGUAUAGCAUAGUUAAAAUAUUGAUUUUGGAACCAAUGUGUAUAUGUAUUUAAAAGCCAUGCGAAAAUGACUUAUCUCUUUUGGUUUGAAUUCGGUAUUAAUGCAUAUGCUUUAAUGGUCCAAAAUGUGGUAUAUGUUCAUGUAAUUUUUAUGCUUAAAUGCUGUCCAAUUUGUUGUAUUUAUGCUGCCCAAAUUGUUGUAUAUAUGCUGUCCAAUUUUGAUGUAAAAAUGCUGCUCAAUUUGGUAUA